GUUGCUGGUGCCUGGGUUAUCGAGAAUGAGACAUUGAAACUCUACCAAGCUAUUCCCAAUCAUCUAGCAAAUCCAUGAUUACUUGUUCUUAUCUUUACAAUAGCUUGAUCCUAGCUUAGUAUUGUCUGGGAGAAAAAAAUGUGUAUAAGGGUGGGUUUGGCUUGGCAAGCUGUUAGCUUUGCGAGUCUCCUGUCCCCUGUGUUUGUGCUUUCAGGGUGUGUGAAGUUUCUA
rnacentral:misc_RNA from 1 species